rnacentral:rRNA from 1 species
GACAGAGGGUGCAAACGUUGCUCGGAAUCACUGGGCGUAAAGCGCACGUAGGCGGAUUGUUAAGUCAGGGGUGAAAUCCUGGAGCUCAACUCCAGAACUGCCUUUGAUACUGGCGAUCUUGAGUUCGGGAGAGGUGGGUGGAACUGCGAGUGUAGAGGUGAAAUUCGUAGAUAUUCGCAAGAACACCAGUGGCGAAGGCGGCUCACUGGCCCGAUACUGACGCUGAGGUGCGAAAGCGUGGGGAGCAAACAGG